UACGGAGGAUCCGAGCGUUAUCCGGAUUUAUUGGGUUUAAAGGGUGCGCAGGCGGGAUGUUAAGUCGGCGGUGAAAUUUUGCAGCUCAACUGUAAAAGUGCCUUCGAUACUGGCUUUCUUGAGUGUGGAUGAAGUAGGCGGAAUUUGUGGUGUAGCGGUGAAAUGCUUAGAUAUCACGAGGAACUCCGAUUGCGCAGGCAGCUUACUAAACCACUACUGACGCUCAGGCACGAAGGCGUGGGGAUCAAACAGGAUUAGAUACCCGGGUAGU
rnacentral:rRNA from 1 species